GCGCCGGACUGGAGAGCGCGGAGGGCCGACCUGACCCGCCGAAAGGGCCUGAGGCGAGGGGAGCCCGGGUCCCGGGGCCUUGGGGAAGGACCCGCAGCCGCACGCCGGCCCCAAGUGCAAAGCAUUGACACGACCCCGAGCGGAGAGGGGGCGCCCUCCUUCUCCCGCGCCCAGAGGCCCGGCCGCUCUGGCCCGAGCCCCAGCCUGGCCUCCGACCCAGCUCCGGGUCGUGGCGCCGCCUGGGGGUCCCUGCGCCCCGGAAAGAGACAGCAGGCACUGGAAAGCGAGGCCGGUGGGCGGGCGAGUCGGGAGGCUCGGGCGGCCGAGGUCCGGGAGCGGAUCCCAGGUGGCGGGAGCUGGUGCCCUGGCAGGAGGGACUGGCUUAUGCCACCCUGUGCAGGAUCGUCUUCUCAGCUUACAGAGCCUAGUGUGAUUCAACAACCCUCCAUCUCUGCCCCCAACAUGCCCAACUGAUCUGGUGGAGGGAACUGAAGAUGAAGGCCUCUCAGGCACCAUGGAUGGGAUGGGUGUGUGUGAAGGGGGCAGGGUCCCCAGGAGCUGCCCCAGGUCUGGCUGGACAGUUGCACGGGAAGUCCUGUUUGUGAACUCAACGUUUCCACGGCUUUUCCAUUAAACUUUACCCCAAAUCACA
rnacentral:lncRNA from 10 species